CGAGCGAGAAAGUUCCUUCGGGAGCGAGUAGAGCGGCGGACGGGUGAGUAACGCGUAGAAAUCUGCCCAGUAGUGGGGGAUAACCCGGGGAAACUCGGGCUAAUACCGCAUACGUCCUACGGGAGAAAGCAGGGGCUCUUCGGACCUUGCGCUAUUGGAUGAGUCUGCGUCGGAUUAGCUAGUUGGUAGGGUAAAGGCCUACCAAGGCGACGAUCCGUAGCUGGUCUGAGAGGAUGAUCAGCCACACUGGGACUGAGACACGGCCCAGACUCCUACGGGAGGCAGCAGUGGGGAAUAUUGGACAAUGGGGGCAACCCUGAUCCAGCCAUGCCGCGUGUGUGAAGAAGGCCUUCGGGUUGUAAAGCACUUUCAGUGGGGAGGAACUGCCCAAGGUUAAUACCCUUGGGAGCUGACGUUACCCACAGAAGAAGCACCGGCUAAUUCCGUGCCAGCAGCCGCGGUAAUACGGAAGGUGCGAGCGUUAAUCGGAAUUACUGGGCGUAAAGCGCGCGUAGGCGGCCUGAUCAGUCGGAUGUGAAAGCCCCGGGCUCAACCUGGGAAUUGCAUACGAUACUGUCAGGCUGGAGUACAAGAGAGGAGAGUGGAAUUCCAGGUGUAGCGGUGAAAUGCGUAGAGAUCUGGAGGAACAUCAGUGGCGAAGGCGGCUCUCUGGCUUGAUACUGACGCUGAG
rnacentral:rRNA from 1 species